rnacentral:rRNA from 1 species
AUUGAACGCUGGCGGCAUGCCUUACACAUGCAAGUCGAACGGCAGCACGGGGGCAACCCUGGUGGCGAGUGGCGAACGGGUGAGUAAUGCAUCGGAACGUGCCCAGUAGUGGGGGAUAACCAGUCGAAAGACUGGCUAAUACCGCAUACGACCCAAGGGUGAAAGCGGGGGACCGUAAGGCCUCGCGCUAUUGGACGGGCCGUUGUCUGAUUAGCUAGUUGGCGGGGUAAGAGCCCACCAAGGCGACGAUCAGUAGCUGGUCUGAGAGGACGACCAGCCACACUGGGACUGAGACACGGCCCAGACUCCUACGGGAGGCAGCAGUGGGGAAUUUUGGACAAUGGGCGCAAGCCUGAUCCAGCCAUGCCGCGUGCGGGAAGAAGGCCUUCGGGUUGUAAACCGCUUUUGGCAGGAACGAAACGGCGCAGGCCAAUACCUUGCGCUAAUGACGGUACCUGCAGAAUAAGCACCGGCUAACUACGUGCCAGCAGCCGCGGUAACAC